CACUGAGUCAGGAAAAACAUUCAGAGCCUGAGCCGGGAUGUUGCUAGUGAAGCAGAGAUUUCAGCUGGCAAUUAUAUCUGAGCACUAAGGUGCCACCAUUACGGUUCUGUGAGACAUCCUGGGAGGGAAGCCAGUCCACGACCACAAAGAAUACUUGAGGAUCUUCAGCAUAACGAGAGGCAUGGCAGAAAACUGUCUUAGUCGAAUUAUCCUGCUGCACCCCUGAAACUCACACGUGAAUGGCAUCCAUUCUGUGGCUCAAACCAAGAUCCCACGAGACAUCUUUCACUUCCAACAAGAGUAACUGUGAUGUUUAUCACUUGAAGUGCUGUGUUCUUGAGAGUGAAAGGAGGCGCUAAGAAGUAAUUACUCUGACGCAACCAGGAUCGGUGGUGACUCUCCUGCUUGUUUCUCUCACCACUUGCUGACCCAUCAAUCAAUCAUCAAGUCUUGUCAGUUCCAUCUCCUAAAGAUCUCUCAGACUCCACUGACCCCGUUUUUGUUGCCUUUAUCUCUUGCUCUCAGUUUUACAGUUUCCAGUCCGUUUUCUACCUAAC
ensembl:lncRNA